UGCGUAGGUGGCGGGGUAAGUUUGAUGUGAAAGCUCCGGGCUCAACCUGGAAAUGGCAUUGAAUACUAUCUCGCUAGAGGAUUGAAGGGGGGACUGGAAUUCUCGGUGUAGCAGUGAAAUGCGUAGAUAUCGAGAAGAACACCAGUGGCGAAGGCGAGUCCCUGGGCAACUCCUGACACUGAGGCACGAAAGCUAGGGGAGCAAACA
rnacentral:rRNA from 1 species